CCCUUUAAUGAAAAGAGCCAGUAAGAUAGCAUCUGAAAAAAGAAAGACAGAUUUUAGGAACAAAGGAUUUUUUUCCUUGUGCUUUGUUUUCCCAGUCUUGAAUUAAUCACAGCUGUCUUUCCCCAGCAAAGGUUAUUUUUAUCUAGCAUGCUUUAAAUUAAAAAACAACAACAACAAAGGGAGCAAUCUGAUGUUCUUCAAGCUCCCAGAGCCCUUCCACAGAAAAAGAAGCAUUUACUCUGUGCAGCUAAGAAUCCAGCUUUUAAUUCUAUCUUUUCUUGUGUUUACAUAAACUUUCGUUUGCAUUUCAGAAGCCUUAUGGAAAGAUUCCUGUGGCUGACCCGGGAGUAGUGGUGAAUUUCUCCAUCAAUAGGAUUUUGAGAGAGAAAAAAGGUUAACUUCUGCAUAUACAUGUGCUCAGUAAGCUAUCUUGAAACAGAAGCCGGGAAUAGACAUAAAAGCAAGAUAAAAUAAUGGUACUUGAGGCUGCUAUUCUCACUUAGUACUCAUCUCAGUUUUCUAAAGACCCAUCUAAAGAUGUUCAUCUUUAAUUCAUCUGAGAAAAGGAGCAAGAAUACUUCAUGACCAUAAGAGUAAGUUGAUAUUGGCACUAGUGGUUAAGCUAUAACUUUGCUAAUUCCAAUGGCCCUGUGUAUUUUUUCUUCGCUAUUAUUCUUCACUAGGAAUCAAAAUAUAAGCAUUCUUUGUUAUUAUAGGCUUUAUCCUCUACACAGAUACGCCCUUGGAUUAAAAGACCAUGUUCUUAAAGCAGAGAAAAUACAGAUGUUUCCACUUGCCCAUUUAUAUCACUCCACACAGCAAUGAUAUUAGUCUUUUAGUAGUAUAUGCCACAUUAGCAGUCUGAGUGUUUUUGAAUCAAAGCCGAAAUUUGUAGUGCCUCUAAUGUGUAAUGAAGUUGCACAUUUUUACCAUGCAUUCACUCAAGCAUAUGGGUUUUAUAAUUGAACUCAAGAGAUUGUAUUUUGGAUUCACUUCUGCUCUAAUAAAAAUGUACACAUACCAAUGCUUCUGUCCCCAUUUGGAGACACAAUUUGAUACAGUUUGGUCAUCUGUUAUAGAGUAUAGAUAGGCUUUCAUUCUUCUGUUGAAAAAAAGAAGCCAUGAUGACUUAAUUAUGUAAAAUAGCAUUACUAAAUAGCAAAUAGUUUAUAUUAUAUCUGCAUAUGGGCAUUCUAAAAGAAAUUACAUGAUGAUAUGAAUUACCAGUGCCCAGAACAAAUAUCAUUGGAAUGAAUAUGCUUGUUUUUGAGGAGACAUGGAAUUUAAAAGCAUUGGCUUACUUCUAAUGUUAUUGUUCUUCAUCAACCAAGCUUUCAAAUAAAUGUUCACAUUUCUAUGACGGUUUAGAUUGUGGAUUUUAGGAAUGCUCAGAUUACACUCAAAAGCAAGUAUUUCCAGAUAUUGCUCAAAAGGUUACUUUUGAAAUAUGUUUUUUUAUUGCACUUGAAUAUAGUUAAAACACAUCUACCACAAAAGAAGUAGUCAGAAAAUUCAUUUAAUCUUUUUAGAGUGCUUUUAAAAUAUUUAAAUUAAAGUUAGAUCUUUGGAUAAGUUCAUACUUAAUGGUUGUCAUCUAUGUACAGUGUAGUUUCAUGGAUUAUAAUAAUGUAAGUUAAACUUACUUUUUUUGCAUUUACUCCUUUGUCCUAAUGUGGAGAUGUUUAUGUAUAUUUUUCUCACUUCAAAUCAUUCCAUUAAUGGGGGUAUUGUAAUAAUAUUUUUCUAAUCAAUUAAAAGAAAUGAAUGCUAAAAUGAUCAGAACUCUCAAAUGAACAUUUUUAACUUAAAAUUAUAUCCUAGAAAGUUGGUUUUAGGACAUUAUGAUAAUUCACUAGGAAAUGAAUACUGUAUAUAUUUGUUCUUUCAAGAUGAGAACAUAAUAAUCACUAAAAUUUAUUGGGCAUUUUCUUCUCUAAGUAUUCAUUUCAAUGAGUUAACUUACUUCUUUGUUAACUUACAUCAUCACAGUCACUUUAUAAGAGAAGUGCCAUUAUUUUUCUAAGUUUGCAAAAGAGAAAACUGAGACACAGAGAAGCUAAAUGACUAGUAAGAGGUAAAGUUGAGGUUCCAGCAUAGGAAGUCUGGCUCUCAAUGACUAACCCAUGCCAUCUUGAAAAAGUCAGCAUAGCCUUGGUACAGU